GGGGCUGUAGCUCAGUGGUAGAGCACCCACCUCGCAAGUGUGAGGCACUGGGUUCAAUCCUAACACCA
rnacentral:tRNA from 1 species